AAGUCGUAACAAGGUAACCGUAGGUGAACCUGCGGUUGGAUCAUUAAAAGUAGUAACAAUGUUACAGUAACAAUGUUACACCAACCCUAAAAGAAAUGUUGUUUUGGAUGAUGAUGAUGAAAGUUAAAGUUAUCAAGCAUUCAAAAAUUAUUUACAAGUUACGCAAUUUAAAUUUAAUUUUUUAACAAGAAAAACUUUUGACAAUGGAUCUCUUGGUUCUC
rnacentral:misc_RNA from 1 species